GACGAACGCUGGCGGCGUGCUUAACACAUGCAAGUCGAACGGAAAGGCCCUGCUUUUGUGGGGUGCUCGAGUGGCGAACGGGUGAGUAACACGUGAGUAACCUGCCCUUGACUUUGGGAUAACUUCAGGAAACUGGGGCUAAUACCGUAUAGGAGCUCCUGCUGCAUGGUGGGGGUUGGAAAGUUUCGGCGGUUGGGGAUGGACUCGCGGCUUAUCAGCUUGUUGGUGGGGUAGUGGCUUACCAAGGCUUUGACGGGUAGCCGGCAUGAGAGGGUGACCGGCCAAAAUGGGACUGAGAUACGGCCCAGACUCCUACGGGAGGCAGCAGGGGGGAAUAUUGCACAAUGGGCGGAAGCCUGAUGCAGAAACGCCGCGUGCGGGAUGACGGCCUUCGGGUUGUAAACCGCUUUCGCCUGUGACGAAGCGUGAGUGACGGUAAUGGGUAAAGAAGCACCGGCUAACUACGUG
rnacentral:rRNA from 1 species